rnacentral:rRNA from 1 species
UAGUCCAUGCCGUAAACGAUGGGUACUAGGUGUUGGAGGAUUCUACCCCUUCAGUGCCGCAGCUAACGCAUUAAGUACCCCACCUGGGGAGUACGAUCGCAAGGUUGAAACUCAAAGGAAUUGACGGGGGCCCGCACAAGCGGUGGAGCAUGUGGUUUAAUUCGAUGCAACGCGAAGAACCUUACCUGGGCUUGACAUGCAGGGGGACAGAUGUAGAAAUACAUCCUUCUUCGGACUCCUGUACAGGUGCUGCAUGGCUGUCGUCAGCUCGUGUCGUGAAAUGUUGGGUUAAGUCCCGCAACGAGCGCAACCCUUGUCUUUAGUUGCCAUCAGGUUAUGCUGGGGACUCUAGAGAGACUGCCGGUGACAAACCGGAGGAAGGUGGGGACGACGUCAAGUCAUCAUGGCCCUUACGCCCAGGGGCUACACACGUGCUACAAUGGUCGGUACAAAGGGGCAGGCAAUACAGCGAUGUGGGAGCGAAUCCCAAAAAGCCGGGACCUC